AUACGGAGGGUGCGAGCGUUACUCGGAGUCACUGGGCGUAAAGCGUCCGUAGGCGGUCGGGUAAGUCGGGUGUGAAAGCCCCGGGCUCAACCUGGGAAGUGCACCCGAUACUGCUCGACUCGAGUGCGGGAGAGGAUGGCGGAAUUCCCGGUGUAGCGGUGAAAUGCGUAGAGAUCGGGAGGAACACCAGUGGCGAAGGCGGCCAUCUGGCCCGCAACUGACGCUGAGGGACGAAAGCGUGGGGAGCAAACAGGAUUAGAAACCCCUGUAGUCC
rnacentral:rRNA from 1 species